UAAAGUAGUUAUUCAACCAUGUGGAAAACACUGCGUACAUAAUCAUGUACUGGGAAAAGUCAUGCAAUGAAAGUUAACAUCUUUUUUUUUAAAGGCCUCCAAGAAAAGAUGGGGGCUCUGGUUGGAAAGAUGUGGCAGAUGUCAGCUACCAGAUGGCAAGAAGGAGGCAGUUCCGGACACAGGCUCGAAACAGAGAAGUUAGUGUGGGAAAGUGAGAGCAAACUGACCCCACCAUGCAGAGAGAGUGGGCAAGGCGUGAGUAAAGACAAGGAACAAGAGAAAGAAUGAGAGGAAAUGCUGUUUGGUGGGUGGAAUUUGUGUUUUGCCUCUAGAAGUGUUGUUCUGAAGAGGGCAGAAGAUAACCACGUUGGCUGAAACAAAACAGUCUUUGCCCAUCAGGGGACCAGUCACUCUUCAUCAGUUCUUAACAUCUCUCCUCUGGUGGCAAAUGCCAUCUAGAAGCUCCAUGUCUUCACAGAACAGAAAGUCCUAGAGAUCUUGAUAACUCAGCCACUCAUCAGAAAGCUCUUGAAUGCUUUCUCAGAGUGCUGUUCUUGGAAUGAAAGCAACAACUUUCGUGCCCUGAGCAGUAUCUCAAGCCACUUGGGCCUGAAACUUGUGUCCUCAUUGUCAACCUUGAAGCAUAUAGAUGUCAUUCGGAGAAAUCCUUUGACUGCUCUCAGCCCAGACUUCCUCAUCUGGAGAAUGGAGAUAUUACCAGCGGCUCCUACUUUGUUUCAGUGUUUUGUGGGAAUCAUCUGAUGGAUGUAAAACCUUUUGGAAAAUGUAAAAUCCUAUAUAAAAAAAAGAUGAUCCUAAAAAUUGCAAUAUUAUAGGAUUAAACCAGAACAACAACCUUCAUCUAGGUUAUACAUGAAAAUCGAGUUUAAAAAUCUCUUAUUUAGUAAUACCAAAAGAUACUGGUUCAAAGAAUCAUGACUAUCACUUGUAUAAUCUUUCUACUUGUUCUCUAGCUAAAUGCCUUAAAUCUAUGGAGUUCUAAUACUGAAAGAAUUAAGAAAAUCAUUGCCACAUUAAAGGUGAAAGUUUUUAAAAAUAUAUUAAUGAGGUGGUGGGAAGUAGGCUGACAUUAAAGUAGGUUUGGAAGUGUUUGCUUUCUCUAAUUAAAUAGAGCUAAUGAGUUUCUCCACUGAGCCUGAGCACUGGGCUAAACAGUCUCACAAGCCUCUGGUUUCUGUGAUCUCAGUAAGAGAUGGCCAACUGGCAGCCGAAAAUAAUCUGCAUCAUGGGGUGAUUCAUCCUUCACACCUUUGGGUGAAACCUUCCUGUCAGAAUGCAGGAACAGGUUGCAAGCACCAUGCAGGGUUGAGUUAGAGUCUCUUUGGUCUUCAGAAGCUGCUGACCCCUCACUCAUAUCAAGAGACUGUAGCACAAGGUCACUACAACAAGAAUCAGAGAAUGGCAAAAUGAAAGCUUCCACAGAUCACAAAUCAGAGCUGGGAACAAAGUGACAAGGAGGAGAUAGAAUUUAACUGAACCACCCAUCGUUGAAAAUGGGGGCAGGGGGUAGGAUCUAGAGAUACAGAAGGCAUGCCUCUACCCUCUCCUUACUCACAAGCAUGGGAUAUGGGUUUUAAAAAAAGAAAAUGAAGACAAUCUAGCAUAUCUUCAGUGCUUUUGUGGGGUCUGCAGGUAUAAUCAAUCCCUUGGUGUAGUUUAUAAAGCCAUUUAUGACCUGGCCCAGCUUUCCUCUCCAUUUCUGCACAUUCCCUGAACAUCUCACCACCACCUCGCAUCACCACGAAGAUGGAAGGAGCUUCUCCCAGACCUGGACGCGUCCUCUGUACGUGCUGCCCGUCCUGCCCGAAAUGACCUGUCUUUCCUCUGCACAUUCUAAGUCUUCCUUAGUGGAGCCACCUGCUCAGCAAAGACAUUCCUGACCACCCCCUUUCUGUCACCCUGUUUCCCCCAGUUCCUCAGACUCCUUAAACUUGGUCCCUCUUUCAGGUCUUUGAACAGGUGCUUGUCUCCAUCUUUGUCAUCCUUAUUGCAAUUUAUCUCUCAGGUCUCCACUUAAAUACCACUUGGAGGAGAAAUCCUUCAUAUCCCAUUGACUUCUCCAGUCAGGGCCCCAUCUAAUUUUCUACUAGAAUCCUGUUCUCUUCCUUCAUUACACUUGUCACAGCUUUUUAAAGUAAUCAAUCAAUAAAAAAUAUAGUGUAUGAACUUGAUUUAAGACUACACACACAAAUACUUGAGACUGUAACGUUGGUAAAUUUCAAGGACUAUGUUUUGCUCUUCAUUGUAGAUCCAGUAAUACUGGGUGCUCAAUAAAAUAUUUGAUGAAC
rnacentral:lncRNA from 1 species